CCUACGGGGAGCAGCAGUGGGGAAUAUUGGACAAUGGGGGGAACCCUGAUCCAGCGACGCCGCGUGAGUGAAGACGUAUUUCGGUAUGUAAAGCUCUAUCAGCAGGGAAGUAAAUGACGGUACCUGACUAAGAAGCCCCGGCUAACUACGUGCCAGCAGCCGCGGUAAUACGUGGGGGGCAAGCGUUAUCCGGAUUUACUGGGUGUAAAGGGAGCGUAGACGGUGCAGCAAGGCGGAUGUGAAAGGUCGGGGCCCAACCCCGGGACUGCAUUGGAACUGUUGAACUGGAGUGCAGGAGAGGUAAGCGGAAUUCGUGGUGUAGCGGUGAAAUGCGUAGAUAUUAGGAAGAACCCCGAUUGCGAAGGCAGCUUACUAGACUGUGACUGACAUUGAUGCUCGAAAGUGUGGGUAUCAAACAGGAUUAGAUACCCCAGUAGUC
rnacentral:rRNA from 1 species